rnacentral:misc_RNA from 1 species
GAUGAAGAACGCAGCGAAAUGCGAUAAGUAAUGUGAAUUGCAGAAUUCAGUGAAUCAUCGAAUCUUUGAACGCACAUUGCGCCCGCUAGUAUUCUGGCGGGCAUGCCUGUCCGAGCGUCAUUUCAACCCUCAAGCCCCCGGGCUUGGUGUUGGGGAUCGGCGAGCCUCCGCGCCCGCCGUCCCCUAAAUCUAGUGGCGGUCUCGCUGUAGCUUCCUCUGCGUAGUAGCACACCUCGCACUGGGAAACAGCGCGGCCACGCCGUUAAACCCCCAACUUCUGAACGUUUGACCUCGGAUCAGGUAGGAAUACCCGCUGAACUUAAGCAUAUCAAUAAGCGGUGGA